GACGAACGCUGGCGGCGUGCUUAACACAUGCAAGUCGAACGGAAAGGCCCUGCUUUUGUGGGGUGCUCGAGUGGCGAACGGGUGAGUAACACGUGAGUAACCUGCCCUUGACUUUGGGAUAACUUCAGGAAACUGGGGCUAAUACCGGAUAGGAGCUCCUGCUGCAUGGUGGGGGUUGGAAAGUUUCGGCGGUUGGGGAUGGACUCGCGGCUUAUCAGCUUGUUGGUGGGGUAGUGGCUUACCAAGGCUUUGACGGGUAGCCGGCCUGAGAGGGUGACCGGCCACAUUGGGACUGAGGUAGGGCCCAGAGUCCUAAGGGGGGCAACGGGGGGGAAUAUUGCACAAUGGGCGGGAGCCUGAAGCAACAACGCCGGGGGCGGGAAGACGGCCUUCGGGGUGUAAAACGCUUUCGCCUGAGACGAAGCGGGGGUGACGGUAAAGGGUGAAGAAGCACCGGCUAACUACGUG
rnacentral:rRNA from 1 species